UGGGGAAUUUUGGACAAUGGGCGCAAGCCUGAUCCAGCCAUUCCGCGUGCAGGAUGAAGGCCCUCGGGUUGUAAACUGCUUUUGUACGGAACGAAAAGGCCUUCUCUAAUACAGAGGGCUCAUGACGGUACCGUAAGAAUAAGCACCGGCUAACUACGUGCCAGCAGCCGCGGUAAUACGUAGGGUGCAAGCGUUAAUCGGAAUUACUGGGCGUAAAGCGUGCGCAGGCGGUGAUGUAAGACAGGUGUGAAAUCCCCGGGCUUAACCUGGGAACUGCAUUUGUGACUGCAUUGCUGGAGUGCGGCAGAGGGGGAUGGAAUUCCGCGUGUAGCAGUGAAAUGCGUAGAUAUGCGGAGGAACACCGAUGGCGAAGGCAAUCCCCUGGGCCUGCACUGACGCUCAUGCACGAAAGCGUGGGGAGCAAACA
rnacentral:rRNA from 1 species